AUAGGUUCCGCUUCAUCUAGCUU
rnacentral:miRNA from 1 species